AGUGAACGCUGGCGGUAGGCCUAACACAUGCAAGUCGAACGGCAGCACAGAGGAGCUUGCUCCUUGGGUGGCGAGUGGCGGACGGGUGAGGAAUACAUCGGAAUCUACUCUGUCGUGGGGGAUAACGUAGGGAAACUUACGCUAAUACCGCAUACGACCUACGGGUGAAAGCAGGGGAUCUUCGGACCUUGCGCGAUUGAAUGAGCCGAUGUCGGAUUAGCUAGUUGGCGGGGGAAAGGCCCACCAAGGCGACGAUCCGUAGCUGGUCUGAUGGGAUGAUCAGCCACACUGGAACUGAGACACGGUCCAGACUCCUACGGGAGGCAGCAGUGGGGAAUAUUGGACAAUGGGCGCAAGCCUGAUCCAGCCAUACCGCGUGGGUGAAGAAGGCCUUCGGGUUGUAAAGCCCUUUUGUUGGGAAAGAAAUCCAUCUGGUUAAUACCCGGGUGGGAUGACGGUACCCAAAGAAUAAGCACCGGCUAACUUCGUGCCAGCAGCCGCCGCCG
rnacentral:rRNA from 1 species